rnacentral:rRNA from 1 species
AUGGCUCAGGAUGAACGCUGGCGGCGUGCCUAAUACAUGCAAGUGAAACGGGUAUCUUCGGAUACCAGUCGCGGACGGGUGAGUAAUACAUAGGCAACCUGCCUUUAUGAGGGGGAUAACCGAGGGAAACUUUGGCUAAUACCGCAUGAAGACUCUAAGGCAUCUUAGAGGGAUAAAAGUUGGGAAACAACGCAUGAAGAUGGGCUUAUGGCGCAUUAGCUAGUUGGUGAGAUAGAAGCCCACCAAGGUAAUGAUGCGUAGCCGACCUGAGAGGGUGAACGGCCACAUUGGGACUGAGACACGGCCCAAACUCCUACGGGAGGCAGCAGUAGGGAAUUUUCGGCAAUGGGGGGAACCCUGACCGAGCAACGCCGCGUGAAGGAAGAAGGUUUUCGGAUUGUAAACUUCUGUUAUAAGGGAAGAACGGAUUGGAUAGGGAAUGAUCUGAUAGUGACGGUACCUUAUUAGAAAGCCACGGCUAACUACGUGCCAGCCGCUGC